UUGAGCAGCCAAUGCAAAUCAGUGAUGUU
rnacentral:piRNA from 1 species